CCUACGGGAGGCAGCAGUGGGGAAUAUUGCACAAUGGGGGAAACCCUGAUGCAGCGACGCCGCGUGGGCGAGGAAGUACCUCGGUAUGUAAAGCCCUAUCAGCAGGGAAGAAACAGGACAGUACCUGACUAAGAAGCCCCGGCUAACUACGUGCCAGCAGCCGCGGUAAUACGUAGGGGGCAAGCGUUAUCCGGAUUCACUGGGCGUAAGGGGAGCGCAGGCGGCUUGUGAAGUCUGAUGUGAAAACCCGGGGGCCAACCACGGGAGGGCAUUGGAAACUGGCAGGCUGGAGUGUCGGAGGGGUAAGCGGAAUUCCUGGUGUAGCGGUGAAAGGCGUAGAUAUUAGGAGGAACACCAGUGGCGAAGGCGGCUUACUGGACGGCUACUGACGCUGAGGCUCGAAAGCGUGGGGAGCAAACAGGAUUAGAUACCCCGGUAGUC
rnacentral:rRNA from 1 species